rnacentral:rRNA from 1 species
GACGGGGGGGGCAAGUGUUCUUCGGAAUUACUGGGCGUAAAGGGCGCGUAGGCGGUUUGUACAGUCAGACGUGAAAUUCCUGGGCUCAACCUGGGGGCUGCGUUUGAUACGUGCAGACUUGAGUUCGGAAGAGGGUCGUGGAAUUCCCAGUGUAGAGGUGAAAUUCGUAGAUAUUGGGAAGAACACCGGUGGCGAAGGCGGCGACCUGGUCCGAUACUGACGCUGAGGCGCGAAAGCGUGGGGAGCAAACAGG